GUGACUGCGGAGGGAUCAUUACAGAGUUCAUGCCCUAUAGGGUAGAUCUCCCACCCUGUGUUUAUAUACCUCUGUUGCUUUGGCAGGCCGAACCGUUAAGUCUACCGGCUCCGCUGGUAAGCGCCUGCCAGAGGACCCCAAAUCCUGAGAGUUAGUGUCGUCUGAGUACUAGUUUAAAAUAGUUAAAACUUUCAACAACGGAUCUCUUGGUUCUGGCAUCGAUGAAGAACGCAGCGAAAUGCGAUAAGUAAUGCGAAUUGCAGAAUUCAGUGAAUCAUCGAAUCUUUGAACGCACAUUGCGCCCCUUGGCAUUCCGAGGGGCAUGCCUGUUCGAGCGUCAUUGCAACCCUCAAGCUCUGCUUGGUAUUGGGCAUCACCAGCCUUGGUGAGCCUUAAAUGCAGUGGCGGUGCCGUCUGGCUCUAAGCGUAGUAGUAAUUUUCUUGCUAUAGGGACCAGGUGGAUGCCUGCCAUCAACCCCUCUGUUUUAUCAAAGGUUGACCUCGGAUCAGGUAGGGAUACCCGCUGAACUUAAGCAUAUCAAUA
rnacentral:sRNA from 1 species